rnacentral:misc_RNA from 1 species
AAGUCGUAACAAGGUUUCCGUAGGUGAACCUGCGGAAGGAUCAUUACCAAUUUUAGCGAACCUAAUCUUUUGGGUUAUGGUCUCGCGAAAAAAAACUGUAUUUAAAACCCCACUCUUUUUAACCUUAAAAAAUAAAUCAUGAUAUACAUGAAUUUAAAAAAAAGAUCACUUUCAACAACGGAUCUCUUGGCUCUC